rnacentral:tRNA from 1 species
UUAAUUGAAACCAAAAUAGAGGUACGUCACUGUUAAUGACGCUAAUGAAAUAAAUUCCAAUUAAA